AAAUGUUUAUUCCUCUUUUGUUUCCAGAUUUCCCAGAGUUUCUCUGUUCUUGUUCUCUCUAGGGUUUCCUCAAUUUUACAAGGUUAUUCCCUUUCCUCGUCACAAUUCACCCACUUUCCGCUCGAAUUAGGGUUUUUUCCUCACGAUCUGUGUAAAUUAGGGUUCUUUCAUGAGUCUUCCAGCUGAAACGGAUAUGGAAGAUACCAAACCCUCUGUUGUAAUGGUCGACAAUGGUGACCAAGCUCAGUUUCGGUUUGCUGAGUUUUCCAAGAAUGAGCUAGCAUUGGAUGAAAAAAGCUGUAAAGAAGCAAUGGAUCUGUUUGGAGAAACCAAACAUCUUCUCGUGGCAAAUGUUUUGUCAAUGGGGAAUGGAACGACAGAAGAAGCGGAGCGGUACUGGUUUGCUUUUAUUUUAUACUCUAUCAAGAAACUUGCUCAGAAAAAUGAAGAGAUUCAGAAGGACGAGAUUGAGAAUACCGGUCUUACCUUGUGCCGAAUAUUGAGAGCAGCAAAGCUUAAUAUUGCAGAAUUUUUCAAAGAACUUCCUCAAUUUGUUGUUAAGGCCGGUCCAAUUUUAAGCAAUCUAUAUGGCCCGGAUUGGGAAAACAAGCUUGAGGCCAAGGAGAUGCAUGCCAAUACUAUUCACUUGAAGAUUCUUAGCAAGUAUUAUAAGCGCGUAUUUGAAGAGUUCUUCGUGUCAACUGAUGCAAAUGUUGAAAAUAACUCAUCUGUUACCAAUCGUGUAUCUGAGUAUCAUCGCUUUGGAUGGUUACUUUUCUUGGCUCUUCGUGUACAUGCUUUCAGCCGUUUCAAAGACUUGGUGACUUGCACCAAUGGUUUAAUUUCUAUCUUGGCAAUCCUAAUUAUUCAUGUUCCGGCUCGUUUUCGGAGUUUCAACAUUCACGACUCUUCACGCUUUGUUAAGAAAAGUGCCAAUGGUGUGGACCUCCUUGCUUCACUAUGCAACUUGUAUAACACUUCAGAAGACGAGUUGAGGAAAACCAUUGAGCAAGCCAACAACUUAGUAGCAGAUAUAUUGAAAAAGAAACCCUGUUUGGCAUCUGAAUGCGAAACUGAAAACCUAGAGAAUUUUGACCGAGAUGGUUUAACCUAUUUUAAAGAUCUGAUGGAGGAAUCAUCUCUGCCGUCUAGUUUGAGUGUCUUGGAAAAUGAUUACGAUCACAUGACUCGCAACAAUGGUGAACUGGAUGAAAGGUUAUUCAUUAACGAGGAUGACAGUCUGUUAGCUUCAGGGAGUCUUUCCAGAGGUUCUGUUUCAGCAGGAGGUGUAAAGAGGAAAAUUGAUCUGAUGACGUCGCCUACUAAAAUGAUUACAAGUCCACUUUCACCCCACCGUUCUCCUGCAUCCCAUGCUAACGGAAUUCCGAGUAGUGCAACUCCAAUGAUUGCUGCCACCCCUGUAAGCACAGCAAUGACUACGGCAAAGUGGCUUCGUACCGUCAUUUCCCCACUUCCGUCAAAGCCCUCACAAGAGCUAGAGCGAUUCUUGACAUCGUGUGACAAGGAUAUUACAAGUGAUGUAAUACGCAGAGCACAGAUUAUAUUGCAAGCAAUAUUUCCUAGUAGUCCCCUUGGUGACCGAUGUGUAACUGGAAGCCUGCAAAGUGCUAACCUCAUGGACAACAUAUGGGCGGAACAACGAAGAUUAGAAGCACUGAAGUUAUACUAUAGGGUACUUGCAACAAUGUGCAGAGCAGAAGCUCAAAUACUCGGCAACAAUCUAACUUCACUGCUUACUAAUGAGAGGUUCCAUAGGUGUAUGCUUGCCUGUUCUGCAGAACUAGUCCUGGCUACUCACAAGACCGUAACGAUGUUGUUCCCUGCUGUACUAGAGCGGACUGGAAUUACAGCUUUUGAUCUUAGCAAGGUGAUAGAAAGUUUCAUACGAUACGAAGAAUCUCUCCCAAGAGAAUUGAGGCGACAUCUUAAUUCAUUGGAGGAACGACUUUUGGAGAGCUUGGUAUGGGAAAAGGGUUCUUCAAUGUAUAAUUCAUUGGCAGUCGCUAGACCCGCCCUUUCUGUGGAAAUCAAUCGGCUUGGUCUGUUGGCUGAACCAAUGCGAUCAUUAGAUGAAAUCGCAAUGGAUAUUAACUUCUCUUGUGGAGGAUUGCCUCCUGUGCCUUCCUUGCCUAAGCCCGAGCCUAUGUCAGCUCAAAAUGGGGACCCUAGAUCACCAAAACGGCCCUGUACAGAACAUCGAAAUGUGUUGGCGGAACGAAAUUCUUUUACUUCACCGGUGAAAGACCGGCUUCUUCACUUAAGCAACCUAAAGUCAAAACUACUCCCACCUCCUUUGCAAUCAGCAUUUGCAAGUCCGACGAAGCCAAAUCCAGGAGGUGGAGGAGAAACAUGUGCAGAAACUGGUAUCAGUGUCUUUUUUAGCAAGAUUGUCAAGUUGGGAGCAGUCAGAAUAAGCGGAAUGGUUGAAAGGCUACAAUUAUCUCAGCAGAUAAGGGAGAAUGUAUACUGUCUUUUCCAGCGAAUCCUAAAUCAAUGGACAUCACUUUUCUUCAACCGCCAUAUCGACCAAAUCAUUCUGUGUUGCUUCUACGGAGUUGCAAAGAUAUCACAACUGAACUUAACUUUUAGGGAGAUUAUAUACAACUACAGAAAGCAACCACAAUGCAAACCAGAAGUUUUUCGCAGCGUAUUUGUUGACUGGUCAUCUGCACGCCGUAAUGGAUCAUGCAAACAAAGAACAGGACAGGAGCACAUCGAUAUCAUUUCAUUUUACAAUGAAGUUUUCAUCCCCUCUGUAAAGCCACUGUUGGUUGAAAUUGGCCCUGGCGGAGCAACUACGAGAAAUGACCGAAUACCUGAAGCUAACAACAAAAAUGACGGCCAUUUAGCUCAAUGUCCAGGAUCUCCUAGAAUAUCACCUUUCCCAAGCCUUCCGGACAUGUCACCUAAAAAAGUGUCUGCAACACACAAUGUGUAUGUUUCUCCAUUAAGAUCAUCCAAGAUGGAUGCUCUAAUUUCACAUAGCUCCAAAAGCUAUUACGCAUGUGUCGGGGAGAGCACGCAUGCUUAUCAGAGCCCUUCAAAAGACCUCACCGCCAUAAACAAUCGAUUAAACGGCAACCGGAAAGUAAGAGGACCUCUCAAUUUCGAUGAUGUCGAUGUUGGCUUAGUUAGCGACUCUAUGGUAGCAAACAGCCUCUAUCUGCAGAACGGAAGUUCCGCAUCAUCAUCAGGUCCUCAAGUUCAACUCUAGAUUCAUAAAUAUCACGCCUACUGCAUCAGACCUAUGAAAUCGCCCAUGGUGAAGGCCAUCUCACUAAUAGGCAAAAAGGACCAAGAAAACAUCAAAAUGCACUAUUCAAGCAUCAAAGCUGACACCAGACUUGCUAAGCCAGAAAUGGAUGGCAAAAGUGGGCUAAGCUAGAAACAGGCACAAAGUGUGCUAAGCGAAAAAUGAGCAGGAAAUUUGGACUAAGUCAGAAACAAGCACAAAGUGCGUGCAACCAAAGAAGAUUUCAAGGCUUAAGUUACUUCAAGAUGAAGGUACGGUUUGUGCGCUAGGUGAGUAUAUGGUUCGCUUAAAGGGUUAGGGUGACUAGGGCAAAUUGCAGGACAAUUGACAUUGUUUAACCAUUCUCCUAGCACGCCUACUUUCUCAAGCCUAUAAAUAGGAAUGCAAGGCAAUCAUUUCAAAAUUGUGUAAUUAAGUAGUUUCGUAGUAGGAAGUGAGAAACACAAUGGAGAGAAAAAAAAGAGAGAUUGCUAGUAGAAGUGUUGUCCAAGGAAUCGACAACAAAUGCUUCUCAAUAUCUUUUUUUUGUUUGGCUUAAGUAUAAAGUUACGAUGAGUAAGCAUAUCAAAUUUUCUCUUUUAUUGAGGUUAUAUUUAAAUGUCCUAGUACUCAUGUUUUAACCCCGAUCAUGAAAUUUUAUGUAAUAUUGAGUUUUAAAAUUGUUGAUUCUUCAUUUUAA